rnacentral:rRNA from 1 species
GGCUCAGGAUGAACGCUAGCUACAGGCUUAACACAUGCAAGUCGAGGGGCAGCAUUUUAGUUUGCUUGCAAACUGAAGAUGGCGACCGGCGCACGGGUGAGUAACACGUAUCCAACCUGCCGAUAACUCCGGAAUAGCCUUUCGAAAGAAAGAUUAAUACCGGAUAGCAUACGAAUAUCGCAUGAUAUUUUUAUUAAAGAAUUUCGGUUAUCGAUGGGGAUGCGUUCCAUUAGUUUGUUGGCGGGGUAACGGCCCACCAAGACUACGAUGGAUAGGGGUUCUGAGAGGAAGGUCCCCCACAUUGGAACUGAGACACGGUCCAAACUCCUACGGGAGGCAGCAGUGAGGAAUAUUGGUCAAUGGGCGAGAGCCUGAACCAGCCAAGUAGCGUGAAGGAUGAAGGCUCUAUGGGUCGUAAACUUCUUUUAUAUGGGAAUAAAGUUUUCCACGUGUGGAAUUUUGUAUGUACCAUAUGAAUAAGGAUCGGCUAACUCCGUGCCAGCAGCCGCGGUAAUACGGAGGAUCCGAGCGUUAUCCGGAUUUAUUGGGUUUAAAGGGAGCGUAGGUGGAUUGUUAAGUCAGUUGUGAAAGUUUGCGGCUCAACCGUAAAAUUGCAGUUGAAACUGGCAGUCUUGAGUACAGUAGAGGUGGGCGGAAUUCGUGGUGUAGCGGUGAAAUGCUUAGAUAUCACGAAGAACUCCGAUUGCGAAGGCAGCUCACUAGACUGUCACUGACACUGAUGCUCGAAAGUGUGGGUAUCAAACAGGAUUAGAUACCCUGGUAGUCCACACAGUAAACGAUGAAUACUCGCUGUUUGCGAUAUACAGUAAGCGGCCAAGCGAAAGCAUUAAGUAUUCCACCUGGGGAGUACGCCGGCAACGGUGAAACUCAAAGGAAUUGACGGGGGCCCGCACAAGCGGAGGAACAUGUGGUUUAAUUCGAUGAUACGCGAGGAACCUUACCCGGGCUUAAAUUGCAACAGAAUAUAUUGGAAACAGUAUAGCCGUAAGGCUGUUGUGAAGGUGCUGCAUGGUUGUCGUCAGCUCGUGCCGUGAGGUGUCGGCUUAAGUGCCAUAACGAGCGCAACCCUUAUCUUUAGUUACUAACAGGUUAUGCUGAGGACUCUAGAGAGACUGCCGUCGUAAGAUGUGAGGAAGGUGGGGAUGACGUCAAAUCAGCACGGCCCUUACGUCCGGGGCUACACACGUGUUACAAUGGGGGGUACAGAAGGCGGCUACCUGGUGACAGGAUGCUAAUCCCAAAAACCUCUCUCAGUUCGGAUCGAAGUCUGCAACCCGACUUCGUGAAGCUGGAUUCGCUAGUAAUCGCGCAUCAGCCAUGGCGCGGUGAAUACGUUCCCGGGCCUUGUACACACCGCCCGUCAAGCCAUGAAAGCCGGGGGUACCUGAAGUACGUAACCGCAAGGAGCGUCCUAGGGUAAAACUGGU